rnacentral:lncRNA from 1 species
AGAACUAGAGUUGGCCAUUCUUCUUCAGGCUUCCUCCCCUGGGGGACAAAAAGAAAGCCAUUCACUGCAUUGUGACUUGAUGUCCCCAGGCUGACUUCUGUCACUGUGAUGUCAUCGACUACACUUAUUUCUCAAGCCUCCCCACUCACUCUCUCCCCUCCCACCGCUCACAGCCUCCCACACACAAAUUGGAAGCACACAGGAGUCUACACAAAGCCAAUCCCCCCCUAACCCAGACAACCCACGGCCAAGGGGGCAGUGUGGGAGUGCAGGGCACAAACAUGUCUGCCUUGAACUCCUCCAGAAGAGGCCAGCAGAAGGGAUCCAUCUUCCACCCUGAGCUCCAGCUCACCCUGCACCUGGGCCGCUCCUCCUACUGUGCGCAGAGCUCAGAUCUUCACACUGGAACCCCACCUAUCAAGGCUCACAGGGGCUCACAGCAUCCAGGCGGCCCCUCCUGUGUAAACUCAGGGCUGAAGCACAGCGAGGCUGGAGGGGCUGCAGCUGUGAUGCUCAGGCAGCGUCCAGCAUUCUGUGCCCACUGUUAGUGAAUGGGACUGUGCACCAUGGACCACUCUCCUGAGAACCUUCCCUCAUCUAUGAUAACGCUUACGUCAUCUCAAUUAAGCCAUGAUCCUUUAUGGAGAUAAUUAGCUGUAAAACAUCCUGUCACAGGAGGUUCUCACUGUGUAGGCCAGCUGGCCUGAAACGUGUUAUGGGGAUCAAGCUGCUACAGAAUUCACAUUGCCCUUCCUGCUUCUUUCUGCCUCGUUGUACCCCACAAAGCCUAGCUUUUCUGUUUGAGUGGCUUUCUUAAACAUCCACCAGCAAUCGCAUUGUUUCUCACACUCCCUUGUCCUGCAGAACACUGAGUGGAAUGAACCCAAGAUGGCCUCACAGAGCAACAACUAAAGCACACCAGGCCCUUAGGAUAUGGCGGCACUGCACUAACAGGCUUCACCACAGGCAUCCUAAGGUUCCUGACAGGCCUGGAGAGCCUGAGGGGACAGAACCAAGACUCCAACCCAGAUGGAGGGGAGGGGAGGGGAGGGGGAGAGAGCCUACCACUUUCCCAAUCUCAAAAUCUACUAGAAAACAAAAACCUCCACUCUUCCGCUGCUUUGAAA